GGGCCUUAGCUCAUUGGCAGAGCAUCUGCUUUCCAUGCAGAAUGUCCCAGGUUCAGUCCCCAGCAUCUCCA